rnacentral:rRNA from 1 species
GACGAACGCUGGCGGCGUGCCUAAUACAUGCAAGUCGAACGAGAGCGACCGGUGCUUGCACUGGUCAAUCUAGUGGCGAGCGGGUGAGUAACACGUGGGUAACCUGCCCAUCAGAGGGGGAUAACAUCCGGAAACGGAUGCUAAAACCGCAUAGGUCUUCGAGCCGCAUGGCUUGAAGAGGAAAAGAGGCGCAAGCUUCUGCUGAUGGAUGGACCCGCGGUGCAUUAGCUAGUUGGUGAGGUAACGGCUCACCAAGGCCGUGAUGCAUAGCCGACCUGAGAGGGUGAUCGGCCACAUUGGGACUGAGACACGGCCCAAACUCCUACGGGAGGCAGCAGUAGGGAAUCUUCCGCAAUGGACGCAAGUCUGACGGAGCAACGCCGCGUGAGUGAAGAAGGUUUUCGGAUUGUAAAACUCUGUUGUUAGAGAAGAACAAGUGCUAGAGUAACUGUUAGCGCCUUGACGGUAUCUAACCAGAAAGCCACGGCUAACUACGUGCCAGCAGCCGCGGUAAUACGUAGGUGGCAAGCGUUGUCCGGAUUUAUUGGGCGUAAAGCGAGCGCAGGCGGUUCCUUAAGUCUGAUGUGAAAGCCCCCGGCUCAACCGGGGAGGGUCAUUGGAAACUGGGGAACUUGAGUGCAGAAGAGGAGAGUGGAAUUCCAUGUGUAGCGGUGAAAUGCGUAGAUAUAUGGAGGAACACCAGUGGCGAAGGCGACUCUCUGGUCUGUAACUGACGCUGAGGCUCGAAAGCGUGGGUAGCAAACAGG